rnacentral:rRNA from 1 species
UACGUAGGGCGCAAGCGUUGUCCGGAAUUAUUGGGCGUAAAGAGCUCGUAGGCGGCUUGUCGCGUCGGGUGUGAAAGCUUGGGGCUUAACCCCAAGUCUGCAUCCGAUACGGGCAGGCUAGAGGCAGGUAGGGGAGAACGGAAUUCCCGGUGUAGCGGUGAAAUGCGCAGAUAUCGGGAGGAACAUCCGUGGCGAAGGCGGCCAUCUGGAUCAACACUGACGCUGAGGCACGAAAGCGUGGGGAGCAAACAGG